GAUGAAGAACGUAGUGAAAUGCGAUAAGUAGUGUGAAUUGCAGAAUUCAGUGAAUCAUCGAAUCUUUGAACGCACAUUGCGCCCUUUGGUAUUCCUUAGGGCAUGCCUGUUCGAGCGUCAUUUAAACCUUCAAGCUCAGCUUGGUGAUGGGUGACUGUCCUCCCCUCGCGGGGGGACUCGCCUCAAAAACAUUGGCGGCCGGUACAUUGGCUUCGAGCGCAGCAGAAACGCGGUCUCGAGUCCGGUGGAUCGGCUCCCAUAAGUCUAUUCUUUUAUUUUGACCUCGGAUCAGGUAGGGAUACCCGCUGAACUUAAGCAUAUCAAUAAGCGGAGGA
rnacentral:misc_RNA from 1 species